GAGUUUGAUCGUGGCUCAGGAUGAACGCUGGCGGCGUGCCUAACACAUGCAAGUCGAACGAAGCGAUUUAACGGAAGUUUUCGGAUGGAAGUUGGAUUGACUGAGUGGCGGACGGGUGAGUAACGCGUGGGUAACCUGCCUUGUACUGGGGGACAACAGUUAGAAAUGACUGCUAAUACCGCAUAAGCGCACAGUAUCGCAUGAUACAGUGUGAAAAACUCCGGUGGUACAAGAUGGACCCCGCGUCUGAUUAGCUAGUUGGUAAGGUAACGGCUUACCAAGGCGACGAUCAGUAGCCGACCUGAGAGGGUGACCGGCCACAUUGGGACUGAGACACGGCCCAAACUCCUACGGGAGGCAGCAGUGGGAAUAUUGCACAAUGGGCGAAAGCCUGAUGCAGCGACGCCGCGUGAGUGAA
rnacentral:rRNA from 1 species